GGUGUGCUGUAGUCCAUGGGGUUGCAAAGAGUCGGACAGGACUGAGCGACCGAACUGAACUAUAUUUUUAAAAUAUCUGUAUUACUUACAAUUAGUCAAUAAAAGUGACAAAAGUGGGUUUAAAAAGCCAACCCAGGAAUGGGAGCUCUGUCCCUUUCAAAGGUCCCUGCAUAGGUGAUGGGGAGAGGAGUCCCUUCGUGAAGCAUCUAUUACUGGGCACCAAAGUUCAUGGCGUGGGGUGGGGUCGGGCAGGGGAAGGGUAGAGGCUCGGGGGUGAGCGGAAGGGGGACUUGAAGGAGCCACUUCCUUCCACAGAGCAGCCUGCCCCUCCUCCAGCCCCAUCUCAGGGCCCUGAGUCUGCACUUCCCCUGCCAGAAAAAGUCUGGGCUGGUCCGAAGCCAAAAGAGCGCACCUUCCUGCCGCCGCCGGGGCUGUGACAGAGAGGGAGCCCCUCACGGACACGACAGAAAUCCUGCUGAAGAAGGCCUCAGGGACAUUCCAACACCGGCCAGGCUCAGGCCUGGACACCCUCCCUCCAGACCUGCGGACUUGCUUCCGGGAGCUGUAUCUCUCUCACCGGAGGCUCCUCUUCAGAAAUAAGUGGCCAGGAGCGCACUCUUUCCCUUCUAAGUCAGACAAACACUCUGCAGGAGCGCGCAAAGGGUCCCCGUGGCUUCCUGCUCACAGUCCGCUUCCCGCAGACACGCUGCCCUUCUGAUCUCCAUCCCGGAACGGGGUGCAGCGGGACAUUCAAAGAAACAAUCACUCCCACUGCGGAUGGCACACUCCGGCCAGCAGCAAGCAACCCUUUCAAAGCCAGACACAAAGUCACCAUGUUUCAAGGCUGAUGGGGGUAAGCAUUAUGUGUCCUUUUAGGGAUGACUUCCUUACUCCCUGCUGCUUAGGGGCCUGCUCAGAGGUUGAGUGGCCAUCCCACCCCGCCCCACCCUACCCAGAACUUCCUAAGUGGUCACAUACCACCCCGAGUGCACCAUCACCACAUUUUGCCAGGGACACAGUGACCUCUGGUCUCCACUCCUGUUUUUCAGACAAGGACACACAGACAAGAGCAGCAGCACAUGUCAAUACACGUAUGAUAGAGCAUGACCAGCAUGGGCCAGCCCCUGCUCUCAUCCAUCCCGAUCACCCUCUGCCAAUCAAAGGGCAGUCUUCAGGGCACAGGCGUGUCACCUGCGUCCUCCGGCCCCUUUAG
rnacentral:lncRNA from 1 species